GUCCCAGUAGCGCAAUGGAUAGCACGUUAGAUUUCUAAUCUAAGGGCGUGGUUUCGGAUCCCACCUGGGAUG